rnacentral:rRNA from 1 species
UACGUAGGGUGCGAGCGUUAAUCGGAAUUACUGGGCGUAAAGCGUGCGCAGGCGGUGAUGUAAGACCGAUGUGAAAUCCCCGGGCUUAACCUGGGAACUGCAUUGGUGACUGCAUUGCUCGAGUAUGGCAGAGGGGGGUGGAAUUCCACGUGUAGCAGUGAAAUGCGUAGAGAUGUGGAGGAACACCGAUGGCGAAGGCAGCCCCCUGGGACCAAUACUGGACGCUCAUGCACGAAAGGCGUGG